CCAAUGUGGUAAUAGUGUGGUGGGGACUUUAAGAGGUGAUUGGGCCAUGAAGCUUUUGCUCUCAUAAAUGGGUUAAUCCAUUCAGGAAUUAAUACAUUAUUAAUGAAUGGGUUAAUGUAUUAAUGGGUUAUGAGAGAGGAACUUAUGGAAGAAGAAGAGGAAGAGGAAGAGAGAGAGACACCUGAACUAGCACACCCAGCCCUCUCACUAUGUGAUGCCCUUUGUUACCCUGGGA